GGACCAAAAUAUUACAUUUCCUGCACUUUUCCUUCAAACUACAAUGAAGAGAAGAUCCACAGCCUAUAAGAAGGAGGUGGAGAGUGCAGGGGCGGCCAGGGAAAGUAAGAAAAUCCGCACAGGACCCUUCAAAUGACGAAACUGCCUCCACAACCACCACCACCACCACCACUUGCCUGUCCCACCGCCGCCACAUCCUCCACAGUAAGACAUGACCUACGAUGGGUCACCGAUCGUGGCCGGCGACCAGAUGCUACAUGACCCGUGUCAAGGAAUGAUUUGUCCUCAUGGGGAGUGUAGCAGGGGCCAGUGUGUGUGCCCCAGUGGUUGCCCCACGGACCAGCCGGUGUGCGGCAACGACGGGCUCACAUAUACCUCCCAAUGCCACCUGGAGCGCCACGCCUGCACCUCCGCCUUCGCCAAUCUCACCAUUAGCCACGCUGGACCAUGCCGUAAG